UGCAUGCAAGUCGCACGGAGCUUCGGCUCAGUGGCGGACGGGUGAGUAACACGUAGGAACCUGCCCAGAAGUGGGGGAUAACUCCUCGAAAGAGGGGCUAAUACCGCAUACGGUCUACGGACCAAAGCAGCAAUGCGCUACUGGAGGGGCCUGCGGUGGAUUAGCUAGUUGGUGGGGUAAUGGCCUACCAAGGCGACGAUCCAUAGCUGGUUUGAGAGGAUGAUCAGCCACACUGGGACUGAGACACGGCCCAGACUCC
rnacentral:rRNA from 1 species